GACGAACGCUGGCGGCGUGCUUAACACAUGCAAGUCGAACGGAAAGGCCCUGCUUUUGUGGGGUUCUCGAGUGGCGAACGGGUGAGUAACACGUGAGUAACCUGCCCUUGACUUUGGGAUAACUUCAGGUAACUGGGGCUAAUACCGGAUAGGAGCUCCUGCUCCAUGGUGGGGGUUGGAAAGUUUCGGCGGUUGGGGAUGGAUUCGCGGCUUAUCAGCUUGUUGGUGGGGUAGUGGAUUACCAAGGCUUUGACGGGUAGCCGGCCUGAGAGGGUGACCGGCCACAUUGGGACUGAGAUACGGACCAGACUCCUACGGGAGGCAACGGUGGGAAAUAUGGCACAAUGGGCGGGAGCCUGAGGCAACAGCGCCGCGUGCGGGAUGACGGCCUUCGGGGUGUGAACCGCUGUCGCCUGAGCCGAAGCGUGAGUGACGGUAAUGGGUAAAGAAGCAACGGCUAACUACGUG
rnacentral:rRNA from 1 species